GACGAACGCUGGCGGCGUGCUUAACACAUGCAAGUCGAACGAAGUGGCGAACGGGUGAGUAACGCGUAAACAACCUGCCCUUCAGAGGGGGACAAAAGGUGGAAACGACUGAUAAUACCGCAUACUGAAGGAGGGGAUUGCGUGUGAUUGGCUAGUUGGGGGGGAAACGGCCCACAAAGGCGAGGAUCAGUAGCCGGUCUGAGAGGAGGAACGGCAACAUUGGGACUGAGACACGGCCCAGACUCCUACGGGAGGCAGCAGUGGGGAAUCUGCCGCAAUGGACGAAAGCCUGACGGAGCAACGCCGCGUGAGUGAUGAAGGCCUUCGGGUUGUAAAGCUCUGUUGUUAGAGAAGCGGUAUCUAACCAGAAAGCCACGGCUAACUACGUGCCAGCAGCCGCGGUAAUUC
rnacentral:rRNA from 1 species